rnacentral:rRNA from 1 species
AUUGAACGCUGGCGGCAUGCUUUACACAUGCAAGUCGAGCGGCAGCGCGGGGCAACCUGGCGGCGAGCGGCGAACGGGUGAGGAAUACAUCGGAACAUGCCCGAGAGUGGGGGAUAACGCCGCGAAAGCGGCGCUAAUACCGCAUAUUCUCUGAGGAGGAAAGUGGGGGACCGCAAGGCCUCACGCUCACGGAGCGGCCGAUGUCGGAUUAGCUAGUUGGUGGGGUAAAGGCUUACCAAGGCGACGAUCCGUAGCUGGUCUGAGAGGAUGAUCAGCCACACUGGGACUGAGACACGGCCCAGACUCCUACGGGAGGCAGCAGUGGGGAAUUUUGGACAAUGGGGGCAACCCUGAUCCAGCCAUGCCGCGUGCGGGAAGAAGGCCUUCGGGUUGUAAACCGCUUUUAGCCGGGAAGAAAAGGCGCAGGACAAUACCCUGCGUUCUUGACGGUACCGGCGGAAUAAGCACCGGCUAACUACGUGCCAGCAGCCGCAGUAACAC